UCCUUUAUUUGGUUUUCUUUUUCUUCUCCUUUUUUUGUUUAGUUUUCUUUUUUAUUCUCCAUUUUGUGCGUGGUGUUCUUUUUCUUCUCCAUUUUUUGUUAUUCUUUUUCGGUUUUCAUUUCUUUGGUUUUCUUUGUAUCUUUUUGUUUUUCAUUCUACAUUCUUAUAUACACGAUAAAAAAUUCAAAUACUUCUUCAGAAAAAUUCAAAUACUUGUUCAUCACUUUUCGAAUACUUGUUCAUCAUUUUUAUAUACAAGAUCAACAUUUUUUCCAAAUAUUUGUUUGACAUUUCUCAAAUACUUGUUCACCAUUUCCCAAAUACUUGUUCAAUAUUUUCUAUAUACAUGAUCUGCAUUUUUUCAAAUACUUGUUCAGCAUUUGUUUUCAAAUAUUUGUUCAACAUUUUUCUAAAUAUUAUGUAAAAUUAUAUUUUUGUAAUAUAUAUGUCUAGACUAUUUGAAAGUGUAAACAAAACUAAAAAAUGGAAUCAAAAAACAAAAUAAAAACUUGAAGAAAGAAACAGAAAAGAAAACAAGGCAGUGUAGUGCACGCGAACCUGGGCCAGCCCAUAUGCUCGCGCGCUUCAGCGAGUGGGAAGCCUUGAUUCGCGGAACGCGAGACAUAGCGAUGCCCGGAAUCGAACACACGACCAGCGGCGACUCGCUCGCGUUGUUAGACGCUGCGACAAGCUGACUCUAAUGCUAGAUUUGCAGCGUGAUAUUCCAAAAAAGUAACCGCAGCGAAAAAACAUAAAUAAAUAAUUCCCAAUACUUAAAGUGCGUGGGCGUGGGAUCAAACACACGACUUCCAGCAAAGCGAAGAACCUCGCAAGCCACUGUAGCACAUAAAGUAAAUGCUGCCAAGAUUGGCAGCACAGUUUAUAUGAACAUCAAUGAAAAAUUUAAGCUUCUGUUCAAAUUUCGAACAUGAUUUUUAUAACAAAAGUAAAGUAAUUUUUUAAACAAGAACAUUUCCGAGAUUUAGAAAAUGUGAACAUUUUAAAAAAUCUCAAACAUAUUAUGAAAAAAAGGAAAAAAAAUUGAAAGCGAGAACAUUUCUCAAAAGUAUGAAUAAAUAUUUUCAAAAUGCAAACAUUUUCUGAAAAAAAGGAACAACAAUUGAACAACCUGACAUUUUUUUGAAAUUAUGAACAUUUUAUCCAAACGAGAACAUUUUAUGAAAUUCCACACACAUUUACCUUAAAUUGUGAAAAAAAUUGAAAACAUCAAUAUUUUUGAAUUUUUGAAUAAAUUUCAAAAAUAGGAAUAUUUUUCAAAAUUAUGAACUUUUUUUUCCAAAACACAAUUAUUUUAUGAAUUUCGCCAAAAUAAUUUCGAAAUUUGCAAUCAAUUUUGAAAACAUGAAAAUUAUUUGAAUUUCUGAGCACAUUUAGAAAACGGAAAUAUAUUUUGCAACUCAGGAACAUGUUUUGAAUUUUUCAGCAAAAAUGAAUAAAUUUCAAAAAAAAAUUGGAAAUUUCGAAAAUCCAUUUUUUCCGAUUUUUGAGCGAUUUCUUGUUUUCUUAAAAGAUGCAGAAAAUUGAAUUUCUAUUUUCAUUGGAUUUUGCAAUAAUUUCUGAAACAUUUUUGAAUUUUCAAAAAAAAUUGUAAAGAGGCAAGGAAAAUUGGAAAUUCUUAAAUUUUUUUGCAAUUUCUUAGGAAAUUUGAAGAAAGGAACAUUUUAAUUGAAAAAAGCAACAAAUUUUGAUAAAUGUGAACAUUUUUGAAAUUUCUGAAAAUCUUGUUGAAAAAUAAAAAUUAUGAAAAUGCAAAAGAAAAAGAGAAAAGAAAAGAAAGGAAAUCCAGGAAAACAGAAAACAAAAACGUAAAGUAAAAGAAAAAUAAAAAACCCGGUUCAACUCAAAUGCUUGAUUAACAUUUUUAUAUACAUGAUAAAAAUUCUUUAUUUUAAUUACCUGGUCAAAAAAAUUCCAUACACGUUUAACAUUUUCCAAGUGCUGGAUUAACAUUUUCAUAAUACUUGUGCAACAUAUUUUCAAAUCCUUCAUUAACACUUUUAUGUACGUGAUAAAAAAUUCAUAGUUUUUUAAUACAUGGUCAAAAAAAUUCUAUACACAUUUCGCAUUUUUCAAAUGCAUGAUUAACAUUUUUGAAAUACUUGUUCAACAUUUUUUUCAAAAGCUUGGUUAACAUUUUUACAUACAUGAUCAAAAGAAUUCAUCAUAUUUUAAUACAUUGUCAACAUUUUUUCUAUACACAUUUAACAUCUUUCAAACACAUGAUUAACAUUUUUCAAAACAUUAUGCAAAGUAUACAUCUGUAAUAUAUAUGUUUAAAUAUUUGGAAGCCUAAACGAAAUUAAAAAUAGAAAUCAAGAAACAAAAGAAAACAGAAAAAAAAGAAGCACCCGCAUCCCGCACACUGAGCCGGCCCAUACGCUCGCUCGAGUGGGAGGCCUUUGAAAAAAUGUUGAAAAAGUAUUUGAAAAAGGUUACUCAAGCAUUUGCAAAUUGUUAAAUGUGUAUAGAGAAAAUGUUGACUAAGUAUUAGAAAAUGAUGAAAAAAAUUGAGCAUGUACAUAAAAAUCUUAACCAAGCUUUUCAAGAAAUGUUGAACAGGUAUUUGAGAAAUGUUAAUUAAGAAUUUGAAAGAUAUAAAAUGUGUACAGAAAAAAUGAUGGCCAUGUAUAUAGAAAAUAUUAAACUUGUAUUUGAAAAGGUUAAAUGUGUCUAGAAAAUGUUGAGCAUGUAUUCAGGAAAUAUUAAACUUGUAUUUGAAAAAUGUUAAUCAAGAAUUUAAAAAAAAUUGUAUAGAAAAUACGUAGACCAUGUAUUAAAAUAUUUUAAUCUGGUAGUUGAAAAAUGUUAAUCAAGCAUUUAAAAAAUUUAAAUGUGUAUACAAAAAAGUGAAUCCUGCGAGAGAUGAAAUGAUGAAAAAUGAGAAAGAGGCAAUCAAAACCAAAAGACAAACAAAAAGAAAAGAAAGAAAAUAAAUAACAAUUGAAAACCAGAGAAAAUAACUAAAUAAAAUCAAAGAAAAAAGAAAGGAAAGAAGAAACCAGUGAAAAUGGAGAAAAUAAACUAAGAAAAACAUGUGAAAAAAUAAAAACAAAAAACCCGAAAAAUGAAUUAAAAAUCAUAUCUUUUUCCUCUCAAGUAGGUCGCGCCCCUAGUGUUUAGCAUGAAACGGAAGCUAAGCCAGUUGCAAGCCGCUCUAUCUACUAUCUAGGAGAUCAUGAGAUCGACUCCCGGCGCUCACCCCUUUUCCAUCUCUAUUUCUCUUUUCGGUGCUAGCUAAUGGGCCGGCCCAUCACUGGACAUGCUAGAGUGAGAGAUCCUUCUCACUCGCUUAAUGCAAGAUGUAGCUGCCGCGUCGAUUGGGAGGCACUAGUCCUACGUGUAUUGCCUUCUGUAAAAUAAACGAUUCCGAAAAUUUCAUAAAAAAUAUUAAAAAAACCUAAAUGGUAGAUAAUGCAGCUGCGCUAUUCGGCGAAGUUGAGCGCACGCAUGUGAGCUGUCCGAUGCUGGCGCAAUUUCGCUACGCGGCAAACUAUUAGAAAAACUGUGACGCCCCCGAUUCAAUCAUACACUAAUCAUACACGCAAACUUGUACGAUCAGGAUCAGGGACUCACGGGAAGAUAUCACAACACAACUCUAAAAUAAAAUAAGUCAUACGAGCAUCAUAAUACAAGCCGGGAGCCUCGAGGGCUCGAAUACAAGUGCUCGAUCAUAGACGAGCCAGCGGAAGCAACAAUAUCUGACUACAUACAAAAGUUAAACAAGUUUGCCUUAAGAAGGCUAGCACAAAUUGGGAUACAGAUCGAAAGCGGCGCAUGCCUCCUGCGUGGGAUCCUCCUAAACUACUCCUGGUCGUCGUCAGCGGCUUGAACGUAGUAGUAGGCACCUCCGGUGUAGUAGGAGUCGUCGUCGACGGUGUCGUCUGGCUCCUGGGCUCCAGCAUCUGGUUGCGACAACCAGGUAGAAGGGGAAGGGGGAAAGAGGGAGAAAAGCAACCGUGAGUACUCAUCCAAAGUACUCGGAAGCAAGGAUCUACACUACAUAUGCAUGGGUACAUGUGUAAAGAGGCAAUAUCGGUGGACUGAACUGCAGAAUGCCAGAAUAAGAGGGGUAUAGCUAGUCCUGUCGAAGACUACGCUUCUGGCAGCCUCCAUCUUGCAGCAUGGAGAGGAGAGGAGAUGGUAAGUUCAUCAAGUAGCAUCGUAUAGCAUACUCCUACCCGGCGAUCCUCUCCUCGUCGCCCUGCUAGAGAGCGACCACCGGGUUGUAUCUGGCACUUGGAAGGGUGUGUUUUAUUAAGUAUCCAGUUCUAGUUGUCAUAAGGUCAAGGUACAACUCCAAGUCGUCCUGUUACCGAAGAUCACGGCUGUUCGAAUAGAUAAACUUCCCUGCAGGGGUGCACCACAUAACCCAACACGCUCGAUCCCAUUUGGCCGGACACACUUUCCUGGGUCAUGCCCGGCCUCGGAAGAUCAACACGUCGCAGCCCUACCUAGGCACAACAGAGAGGUCAGCACGCCGGUCUAAAUCCUAUGCGCGCAGGGGUCUGGGCCCAUCGCCCGUUGCUCACCUGCACGUUGCGAACGCGGCCGGAAGCAGACCUAGCCUAGCAGGCGUUCCAGUCCAAUCCGGCGCGCGCCGCUCAGUCGCUGACGUCACGAAGGCUUCGGCUGAUACCACGACGUCGAGUGCCCAUAACUGUUCCCGCGUAGUUGGUUAGUGCGUAUAGGCCAGUGGCCAGACUCGGAUCAAAUACCAAGAUCUCGUUAAGCGUGUUAUUAUGAAGUAACCGCGGACGCCGACCAGGGCGAGGCCCACCUCUCUCCUAGGUGGUCUCAACCUGCCAUGUCGCUCCGCCACAAAGAUUCACCCAGAGGGCCGUUGGGACAAAGGUCCUUUCAGCCCCCAAUCCGUGAAUCACUCGCGGGUACUCCUCGAGCCGACCCGACUUUAGUCACCACAUGUAUCAUGUAUAAAGUGUAUAGUAUAUAUCCGUGAUCACCUCCCUAGUGAUCACGGCCGAUAGUAUAGCAUGGCAGAUAGACAAGAAUGUAGGGCCAUAGAUGGAAUACUAGCAUCCUAUACUAAGCAUGUAGGAUUGCAGGUAAAGGUAACAACAGUAGUGGCAAAGACAGGCUAUGCAGCAGAAUAGGAUUAACGGAAAGCAGUAACAUGCUACACUAUUCUAAUGCAAGCAGUAUAGAGAAGAAUAGGCGAUAUCUGGUGAUCAAGGGGGGGGGCUUGCCUGGUUGCUCUGGCAAGAAGGAGGGAUCGCCGUCGACGUAGUCGUACUCAGGGGCAUCAGCGUCGGUCUCAGGGUCUACCGGAGAAGAAGAGGGGGAAGAAACAGUAAAUACAUUGCAAACAGAUGCAUGACGAUGCAUGACAAAGCAAACAUCGGUGCUAGGUGUGCCCUAAUGCGGUAGGAGGUGAUACAGGCGAAGGGGGAAAACAUCCGGGAAAGUAUUCCCGGUGUUUCGUGUUUUCGGACAGAUGAACCGGAGGGGGAAAGUUGCGAGUUUUCUAUGCUAGGGAUGUGUGGCGGACGAACGGGCUGCAUAUCCUGAUUCGUCUCGUCGUUCUGAGCAACUUUGUACAAAGUAUUUUCAUCUGAGCUACGGUUUAUUUUAUAUGAUUUUCAAAAGUUUUAAAUCAUUUUUAGAAUUUAUUUAAUUCAAAAUUAUCCAGAAUAGUGUUUGCUGACAUCAUCAUGACGUCAGUAGUCAACAGAGGUGUUGACGGGUCAAACUGACGUGUGGGUCCCACUUGUCAUACUCUCCUUAGGUUAAUUAGGAUUGAGCUAAAUUAAUUACUGUUUAACUAACUAACUAGUUAUUAGAUUAAUUAACCAGGUUUAAUUAAGUUAAUUAAUUAUUAUUUUAACUACUAUUUAUUUAUUUAAAGUUUUAUUAUUUAUUUAUUUUCUUUAAAAUCGUUCUAGGGAUGGCCCACCAGUCAUUGGCACAAGGGGGCGAGGCCAGCUCUCAUAGGCCCCUGUGGCCUUAGCGGUCGGGCGGGCGUAGCGGCAACGGGGCGGAGCCAGGCGCUGGGCGCCCGAUUGGGGGAGCCCGGGCGCAGGCCGAAGGGGCACCGCGGGGGGCGCCGGAGAGGCGCCUGCUGGGACCGGAGAGGGCGCGGCCAAGUGCUGUGCAGAGCCAUGGGGCGGCAGUCGGAGGUGGUGUCGCGGCGGGAGGGGGCGCGGCAGCCGGAGCGGGGCAGUGCGGCGAGCAGCACCGGGCACGGUGGCGAGCAAGACCAUGANNNNNNNNNNNNNNNNNNNNNNNNNNNNNNNNNNNNNNNNNNNNNNNNNNNNNNNNNNNNNNNNNNNNNNNNNNNNNNNNNNNNNNNNNNNNNNNNNNNNNNNNNNNNNNNNNNNNNNNNNNNNNNNNNNNNNNNNNNNNNNNNNNNNNNNNNNNNNNNNNNNNNNNNNNNNNNNNNNNNNNNNNNNNNNNNNNNNNNNNNNNNNNNNNNNNNNNNNNNNNNNNNNNNNNNNNNNNNNNNNNNNNNNNNNNNNNNNNNNNNNNNNNNNNNNNNNNNNNNNNNNNNNNNNNNNNNNNNNNNNNNNNNNNNNNNNNNNNNNNNNNNNNNNNNNNNNNNNNNNNNNNNNNNNNNNNNNNNNNNNNNNNNNNNNNNNNNNNNNNNNNNNNNNNNNNNNNNNNNNNNNNNNNNNNNNNNNNNNNNNNNNNNNNNNNNNNNNNNNNNNNNNNNNNNNNNNNNNNNNNNNNNNNNNNNNNNNNNNNNNNNNNNNNNNNNNNNNNNNNNNNNNNNNNNNNNNNNNNNNNNNNNNNNNNNNNNNNNNNNNNNNNNNNNNNNNNNNNNNNNNNNNNNNNNNNNNNNNNNNNNNNNNNNNNNNNNGCGCAGCCGAGCGCGGGCGCGUGAGCGGGGCAUCGGGGGCGCGCACAUCGGAGUGGACACGGCCGCGGUGAGCGCGGAGCCGUGCGAGCGAGGAGGCUGGGAGAUCCGGGGCGCGGGCGACGCAUGGGUGCGCGCGUGCGGUGGCCGUGGCGACGAGCGGGAGGCGCGCGUGCAGCACUGGCAGGCGGUGUCGCGCGAGGGAGAGGGGACGGAGCGAGGCUCACGGCGGGUCGUAGGGUUCGGGGCAGCGGGUGUCGGGGUGGUCGACGGGGACGGCGUGACGGAGAGGAGGCAGGCCGGAGCGGGGCUCUGGCGACGGCGUUGAAAGAACCUGCGGUGCCCCCAUGUUUGGUUUUGAUAAUUGAUGACAAUAUCUAUGGACUAAUGGUUGCCUUGAGUUAUAUUUGAAGGAUUUGUCCAUAGGCAUUUCUUGAAGUUCAUGUGUUGGUUUCAAGGAGUUUAUGUGAUGACCAAGGUGUUAUUAAGGAAUUAUCCAAAGAUUGGUCAUGUGAGAGUUGAGCUUAUUGCAAGAAUGUUUUGGAGAAGAAGAUUGUGUGAUCAUUCAUGUAUAUCUUCAAGACAUCAUCCAAAUGAAGAGAGUUGGUUGAUCAAGACUAAGUCAAGAGUGAAUCAACUUGAUCAACUCACAAAGCGUAGAAGAUGUACCGAGAGGGAUCAAGCGAUCCCAUGGUGUGGUAAGCAUUGUCAAUUACGCUUUGUGUACUAACCCAUGAUCUUCGUGAGAGUUCUUUGUGGGGUUAGGUUGCGGUGUGCAAGUUCAAGUGAAGCAUCAUGAAGAGAUCAAAUGCUUGAAGCUUGCCGUCCAUUGUGGUGACAAUGGACUUGUGAAGAUGUUGCGGUGUGCAAGUUCAAGUGAAGCAUCAUGAAGAGAUCAAAUGCUUGAAGCUUGUCAUCCAUUGUGGUGACAAUGGACUUGUGAAGAUGUGCGGAAGAGUGGCUCACCCAUAGUGGAGCAUGGGGGAGCAAUCAACUAGUCUUCAUCGAGCCAACGCAACCAAGAAAGGUGGUCCAACUUGAGGGAGUCAAGAUCGUCAUCAUCUAGCUCAAGUGGACCAUGUGCAAGGCAAAGGUUUGCUCUUGAUAGGUUUUCUAUUUUACCGGUCUCAUGAUGGUAGUUGGGAGACCGGGUUAUAGGAUCGAUUGCCGUACUAUCAAGGGGGCUCUUGAUGAGUAGCUUGAUCGUAUCGUUCAUAGAGAGCUCAAACCAUUGCAUCCUUGCAUCAUCUUUAUUGGUUCUUGUUUGGUUCUUCUCUUUGUGAGGUUUGGAGCUUAUGGUCAUCUUGAUGACAAGCUCGAGUUCAUCGAAAACGGAGUUCACUCGCAUCUUCUAUGAUGUUUUCGAUGUUGGAGGUUAUGCCGGUUCUUCUCGGUUGGAGGUUUCACUCCUCUAUUUGUUGGCAUACCUCCCCUGCCUCUUCUUACUAUGCUGUUUUGAUGCUACUCGUCUUCCUCUAUCCAGCAAGCUUGAGUUUGCUCAAUUCGGAGCUCAUAUGCAGAAGUUAUGGCAGUUUUGGUUUCCUAGCGGUAGUACCGCUUGGGUGCUACAAGCGAUAGUACCGCUCUAGAGCGGCAGUACCGCUGGUAGCCAUCAGCCGUAGUACCGCUGCGGUCUCGUGCUAGUACCGCCUCGAUUCGGGGGGUCUUUUUCGUGUCGGGUUUUACGGUACUAGCCGCGGCAGUGGGGGCCGUAGUACCGCUCAUAUGCGGUAGUACCGCCCUGAACACCGCGGUAGUACCGCUCUGGGCCCAGCGGCAGUACCGUGAGGGAGAGCGGUAGUACCGCUGGCCAAGCGGUAGUACCGCUCUCUGCGGGGCUGGUGUGGGGGGUAACGGUUGGUUUGUUCCCCCCACUAUAUAAGGAGGUCUUCUUCCCCAAUGAACCUUAUCCUUUUGAGCUCGUGUUCUUCCCCCAUUGUUGACCUUCUUCGAGCUUGCUAACUCUCAAUCCCUCCAUGGAUUCUUGCUAGUUUUUGAGGGAAAAGAGAGAGGAGAUCUAGAUCCACAUUUCCACCAAUCACUUUCUCCUCUUUGUGAGGGGAACCCCUUGGAUCUAGAUCUUGGAGUUCUUGGUGUUCUCCUUCUUGUUCUUCCUCUCUUUUUCUCCCUAGCAUUAGUUGCUUCGGUGGGAUUUGAGAGAGAAGGACUUGGGCACUCCGUGUGCCCUUGCCAUUGCAUUUGGUGCAUCGGUUUGAGUUCUCCACGGUGAUACGUGGAAGUUACAAGUUGAGAAGCUUAUUACUCUUGGGUGCUUGGUGCCCUUGAGCUUGUUCCUCUUGGGUGCUUGGGCGCCCUAGACGGUUGGUGGUGUUUGGAGCUCAAUCAUUGUGGUGUAAAGCUACGGGCAAGCGUCGGGGUCUCCAAUUAGUUUGUGGAGAUCGCCCCGAGCAAUUUGACGGGUACCGGUGACCGCCCCCAAGGGUUGCCAAAGUGUACGGGUUCGGUGACCGCCCCCAAGGGUUGCCAUUUGUACGGGUUCGGUGACCGCCCUCAAGGGUCCCUUAGUGGAAUCACGGCAUCUUGCAUUGUGCGAGGGCGUGAGGAGAUUACGGUGGCCCUAGUGGCUUCUUGGGGAGCAUUGUGCCUCCACACCGCUCCAAACGGAGAUUAGCAUCCGCAAGGGUGUGAACUUCGGGAUACAUCGUCAUCUCCGCGUGCCUCGGUUAUCUCUUACCCGAGCCCUUUACUUAUGCACUUUACUUUGUGAUAGCCAUAUUGUUUCUUGUCAUAUCUUGCUAUCACCUAAGUAGGUUUUCUUGCUUAGCAUAAGUUGUUGGUGCACAUAGGUGAGCCUAGUUGUUGUAGGUUUUGUGCUUGACAAAUUAACCGCUAGGUAUAUUCCGCAUUUGUUCAAGCCUAACCGUAAUUAUUUUAAAGCGCCUAUUCACCCCCCCCCCCNNNNNNNNNNNNNNNNNNNNNNNNNNNNNNNNNNNNNNNNNNNNNNNNNNNNNNNNNNNNNNNNNNNNNNNNNNNNNNNNNNNNNNNNNNNNNNNNNNNNNNNNNNNNNNNNNNNNNNNNNNNNNNNNNNNNNNNNNNNNNNNNNNNNNNNNNNNNNNNNNNNNNNNNNNNNNNNNNNNNNNNNNNNNNNNNNNNNNNNNNNNNNNNNNNNNNNNNNNNNNNNNNNNNNNNNNNNNNNNNNNNNNNNNGUGAGCCCCGAUCCGAUCUGGAUCGAGGGGAAAGGGGAGAGAGCGCGUGGGGGGAGUGGUGGCGGCUAGGGUUGGACCAGGGGGGUCGGGGUGACCUAGUAGGGCGCCGGGGUGGGCCGGCCUUGUCGGCCUGAUUGGCCCAGAGGCCAGCUGGGCCGUGGCCCAAAGGGGGGGUUCUCCUGUUAUUUUAUUUUCUGUUUCUGUUUUGUAUUUUCUUUUAUUUAUUUUUCUUUUUCUGUUUUAUUGUACUUUUAAUUUCUUUAGUUUUGUAAAAUAUGACAAUAGCUCCUAAAUUAAUGUCUCUGAAUAACCCACGGCCUUAAAAAGUUUGGUGACUACAUAAACUAGUUUAACAUUUGUUUAUUAAUUUAAAAGCAUUCAAAUAAUUGUUUUGCUACUGUUUUAUUUAGUUAAGUGCAUUUAAACUUUUUAUAAAGACUUGGUUUAUCCACCAAUAUUACUUAUGAAUUAUUUGGCACAAACCGAACAGUUUUCUUUUAAUGUUUGAAAACUUUUGUUGUAUGCCAUAUUUGGAAUUUGAAUUUUGAAUCGGUUUUUGAACUAACGAGGGAUUAGCAACAGUAACGGAGGUGACGUGGCAUCAUUAGUAGAGUUUUUCUGUAGCCUAAUUAUCCGGGCGUCACAAUUCUCCUCCACUACAAGAAAUCUCAUCCCGAGAUUUAAGAGGGGAGUAAGGGAAAAAGUUCUGGUUACGAAAUUUUAACGGGUAUCCUCGGUCAUGGUUGCUCUUCUCGAAGAGGUUGAUCCAUUAUGUUGUUGUCUUCAUUCCUAUGCUUCAGGGCAUCAUGAUGAAGUCAUCAUCCUUUCUUUGGGGGUUCCAUCGUACUUAUGAAAAAGGAUAAUGGGUAUCUUCGGAAGAACUGGCCUCUAGAAGGUCGCUUAUCUGGUAGAUAACACCAGGAAAGGUGGCGAAAAGUAACUCUCGAAUUGUAACUGAAGAAAAUUUCAAGAGCAAGUUAAGAAGGUACCAUGAGAAGUUUCGAUCAGGCAGGAAAUCGUUCGUUGCCUGAAGCGAAGUGUGAAAGGGGUUUAGAACAAAGGGAAUAAGCAUUGUGUUUGGUACCAGAAUAGAUCACUAGGAAGGUGGUCCAUGAAUUACAUAUGAGGCCACGCGCGAGGAACAACCUUGCGAACAGGGGGUGUACAGAAGAGUCAGGUUUCAAUCCUGUGGAACUGUGGGUUAUGGGCCCACCAUGUGGGUUAAAAUUAGAAGGAGCGGUGACAUCUUGCAUGGUCAUGAUAGCAAGGCAGGUCAGAGGGUAGCCUGUCGAUUAUGUCGGCAACAACGUCGGUACCAAGGGCGAGGGACGAAGAGAACCAUUUUCCUGCUCGUCGAAACGAGGCGGACCAAUAGGCAAAGUUCUCGUCCAUCGGUGGUUACCGGAAUUUCAUCAACAAUAGUAACAGGGUCUUACUGACCGAAUUGUACACCACGGUGUUUACAUAAGCCAGGAGAUAUUACUGCUUAUGUCAUAUAGAUCACCAGUAAGGUUAAACAAAACAAUGGAAAGGAAAAGGUGAUCAUCAGAUUAAACAGAACAAUGGAAAGGAAAAUGUGUUUAAACACAUGUUUCAGGGAUAUAUCCUUCCCAAGGACAAGCAGAGCAUGAUAUCCAUGACAGGAUAUAAAGUAGAAAACCCUUUUAGGUAAGGGGAGAGAAAUUUCAUGACAUUACCCAUACAACGAUGUUUGGAUAGUUUAUAAAGAAAAUUUUGCAUUGUGCUCCAAAUGCUCUUAUUGAUGAUCGGAGUACCACAGACAUGCUUCGAGAUAGCAUUGACAUGGUCUUCAAUCAAGGGUCGGACUCUGGAUACACAAAGGAUCCAUUAGGAACAACUUAUAGAAUAAGUCUUACAAUUUCCUCAUGGAAGAAUGGUUAAAUUUGCUAAAAAGUAAACUAUAACAAUAGGACCUCCGGCCAGGUGUGCUAGGCACGACAUCACCUUACCGGGUCACAUAAAGACCAAUGUUAUAACUCUUGGAAAUAUGUUCCAACCAUCAUAUCUGACCGAGAUUCAGAUCUGAUUGGUGUUCGGAUAACUCAUAUUUAGGAUGCCUGAGAAAAAAGGUGCAACACAAAUUGUCGAGAUGACAUUGUAAGAUUCUCGGGAAUUGAACUAUGGAAGCGAGUUCCAAAACAAGAGUUCAUCAUUAAAACAAGGAGAGGUGACGAGGUGGUUGAUUGACUCUGUGACAAUCCAUUGAGAUUUCCAAAAAGAUGAAUUUCCACAAUUAUGUGAACAAGGAGAUAACAUUAGUCAGAUCAAAUGAUAUAAUGAUGUAUGCUCGAGGAAAACAUACACAAUUAAACAUUGGUUGAAAGGUGCGCCCGAAAUAUGGGUUGGGUUGCACGACCAAUGUCAGAAUGGUGAUUCAAUAAUCAAUAGUCCAAGAAUGAACGGCCGACCAUUAACUUCAAAGCAAUAGGGUUGCUAGAAGGACAGAAUCCAAACAGCACCGUUCGCUUGUUGGUAUCCCGGUUGGAAUCAACACGAGGACCAAGGAACGAACGGAGAUGGCAGGAAGUAUCACUUGUACCAAGAAUUCAUAAGAGGUGGUGAAAUUCUCACAACAUUCUUGACAUAAAAGAUGGUAAUACUCCAAGGUAAAGAAGAACAAUUGCUGGAUAGCAAGGAUCUCAAGGUAUAACAGAAAGCACGAACAAGUUUGUGUUGAACGAAAGGCAAUAAAGUGGUCGAUGAUAACACAAAUCAUCGAGAGCAAAGGGUGGUAUUUCUCAUCAAGAAUUCGAUAGAUAUCUUGGAAGAGCUCAGAAUGUUGAUGAUGUUCACGACACAUUUGUCGCGUGAUUUCAUGAAGAAGUAAUCGAUCGGCGACGAGAUCCAGUCAAAGGAAUGAUGAGGCGAAAGGUUAUUGGAACCAAGGGUAUGACACAAACUCGAAAUCAAGCUUGGUGUUCAAGGCGAAAUGAUACGACGAGGAAGAUCGGCAUAAGGUUAUCUCAUCGUCCAAAAUUGUGCUACGGGAAGAAGGACCAGGUAGCACAGUUUAAAAUUUUGGCACAAUAAUGAAUAUAGCCGAUCAGGCUAGGAAUGACGUGAUGGAGUAUUAAACUCCUCAACAACAAAGUACUAGAAGGUACUUAAUUGUAGUGCAGAUUCGAUUCACUAAUCGGCGUUCUCGAUUGACGACAACCCAGAACCCGUGGAGUGAUUAUGACGGGGAAAAGGUACUACUUCAUUAGAAAUUCAUAAGAUGAAGUGCAAUGGGUUGAUACCCUCGAGAUACCAGGGGGUAAUACUCGAAGGUAGAACAAAAUAGAGGUUGGGCAGGCAUACUGAUCUGCAGAAGACAAGUAAUUUAACUUGUCCGAGAAAUAGAAUCAAAGGAGAACAAUCAUGGUCGGAACCACGGUUGCAAAGGAUCAAUUCACAGAUACCAAAUGAUAUUUAUCAAGGAAAUAGUUAUUAUUACAAGAAGUUUCCAUGAUAGGAUCAACAUCAUGUCCAUGGGCAUGAACACAAAGUUCAAGGUCGACUCCCACUUCUCUAAUGCAUAACCUUUCAUUCACUUCUCGCCUUCGACGAAGUUGUAGUGUUGAAGUUUUAUCUGACAUGUCACUAGAAGAGUAUGACUCGUGAAAACUCUCGGGUGCAUACGGUUAGGGAAGGUAUAGGUUCAACCCAUAGGGGCAUCUUAGGAACAUAUACCACAAACUUCAGGCGCAAAUAACUCCAGCUCGGAAGUAGAGCAUGGUUCACAAAGCAGAAGAUAUAGAUUGUCAAAGACAUUUGUAUCAUGGGAAUAACUCACAAGAAUUUUUCAAUGUGAAGGAUACUAACGGAUAAUAACCCAGCAAUGGGCCUGGCGGUGCACAAUGGAGUUGAUGUGAGUAUCGGUACUCAAUAAGAGGAGGAAAGAAUGCAAAUGCAUUGGAUUAUAGAACAUCUGAAUAAUUCGAUGCUUUGAUAACAAAGGAAUUAUGAUUUCCAAAAUGAAGGAUCAGAAGCAGACGCUCUGAUCAAAGAUGGAUAGUCGAAUAGACAUAUGGGCGUACAAUCGAUGGCAAAUUGAUUGGUCAAGAACCAGCUCAUGUCCGGAGUGACGUCUGAGUUGAAGGGAAGAAUUCUAAUUGCUUGAUGAUUGCGAGCAUUCGCAAACAUAUCGAAUUAAUAUACUCACAAUAAUAGUGACAAAGGGUGCCAAUAAGAUUACCAGACGUAUGGGAUUAACCAUAAUGCAAGCAAGCAAGAAUUUCAAAAGCAAUAGGCUGCUCAGGAUUUUCGGAAGACCGAAUGGUAUUUCGAAGACUUUUGUGAAGCACAUGAAUCAACUGGGAUGAAUGGAUACUCGACAAGUGCGAGGAAUUAUCCGUAGGGGUAUUCAUGUGGUAAAGAACUGCAAGGCAGUAAGCUCAAAGGAUUCUCGGGACAACAGAGAGUAUUUCGGGGCAUCUUGUAAUAACAAGAUCAACAGGGAAUGAUUGUAUGAAUGGCAAGUGUAUGCAGUUUUCAUAGGGGUCGACGGUGGAAGGGAAUCGCAAAUGCAAUGGCACAAAGACUCAAGAGAACAUCGUAGAGUAACUUCGGAAUCUUCUAGUGCAGCAGGCGAUCAUCUGAAGUGAGGGGCUCUCCGGGAGAAAGUAUUUUCGAGAACCUAAAGUUAGUUUUGUUUUUAGAAAAAUCUUUAACCCGAAUAGAAGAGAGCUCAGAGUCCCAGAGUAUAGACGAGGAAUAAAAGAUCCUAAUGCCACCCAAUGGCGACGUGGGCCCGUAAGCCACACAGCCAUGUUAGUAAAAGUUUUGCAAUGACUAGACUCGACUUCGGCCAAGGAGUGUGGAAGGGGGAUUCCUACAGGCAGUUGGCUCUGAUACCAACUUGUGACGCCCCCGAUUCAAUCGUACACUAAUCAUACACGCAAACAUGUACGAUCCAGAUCAGGGACUCACGGGAAGAUAUCACAACACAACUCUAAAAUAAAAUAAGUCAUACAAGCAUCAUAAUACAAGCCGGGGGCCUCAAGGGCUCGAAUACAAGUGUUCGAUCAUAGACGAGUCAGCGGAAGCAACAAUAUCUGAGUACAGACAUAAGUUAAACAAGUUUGCCUUAAGAAGGCUAGCACAAACUGGGAUACAGAUUGAAAGAGGCGCACACCUCCUGCCUGGGAUCCUCCUAAACUACUCUUGGUCGUCGUCAGCGGCCUGAACGUAGUAGUAGGCACCUCCGGUGUAGUAGGAGUCGUCGUCGACGGUGGCGUCUGGCUCCUGGGCUCCAGCAUCUGGUUGUGACAACCAGGUAGAAGGGGAAGGGGGAAAGAGGGAGAAAAGCAAACCGUGAGUACUCAUCCAAAGUACUCGCAAGCAAGGAUCUACACUACAUAUGCAUGGGUACAUGUGUAAAGAGGCAAUAUCGGUGGACUGAACUGCAGAAUGCCAGAAUAAGAGGGGUAUAGCUAGUCCUGUCGAAGACUACGCUUCUGGCAGCCUCCAUCUUGCAGCAUGGAGAGGAGAGGAGAUGGUAAGUUCAUCAAGUAGCAUCGUAUAGCAUACUCCUACCCGGCGAUCCUCUCCUCGUCGCCCUGCUAGAGAGCGACCACCGGGUUGUAUCUGGCACUUGGAAGGGUGUGUUUUAUUAAGUAUCCAGUUCUAGUUGUCAUAAGGUCAAGGUACAACUCCAAGUCGUCCUGUUACCGAAGAUCACGGCGGUUCGAAUAGAUAAACUUCCCUGCAGGGGUACACCACAUAACCCAACACGCUCGAUCCCAUUUGGCCGGACACACUUUCCUGGGUCAUGCCCGGCCUCGGAAGAUCAACACGUCGCAGCCCUACCUAGGCACAACAGAGAGGUCAGCACGCCGGUCUAAAUCCUAUGCGCGCAGGGGUCUGGGCCCAUCGCCCGUUGCUCACCUGCACAUUGCGAACGCGGCCGGAAGCAGACCUAGCCUAGCAGGCGUUCCAGUCCAAUCCGGCGCGCGCCGCCCAGUCGCUGACGUCACGAAGGUUUCGGCUGAUACCAUGACGUUGAGUGCCCAUAACUGUUCCCGCGUAGUUGGUUAGUGCGUAUAGGCCAGUGGACAGACUCAGAUCAAAUACCAAGAUCUCGUUAAGCGUGUGAUUAUGAAGUAACCACGGACGCCGACCAGGGCCAGGCCCACCUCUCUCCUAGGUGGUCUCAACCUGCCCUGUCGCUCCGCCACAAAGAUUCACCCAGAGGGCCGUCGGGAAAAAGGUCCUUUCAGCCCCCAAUCCGUGAAUCACUCGCGGGUACUCCUCGAGCCGACCCGACUUUAGUCACCACAUGUAUCAUGUAUAAAGUAUAUAGUAUAUACCCGUGAUCACCUCCCUAGUGAUAACGGCCCGAUAGUAUAGCAUGGCAGACAGACAAGAAUGUAGAUCCAUAGAUGAAAUACUAGCAUCCUAUACUAAGCAUGUAGGAUUGCAGGUAAAGGUAACAACAGUAGUGGCAAAGACAGGCUAUGCAGCAGAAUAGGAUUAACGGAAAGCAGUAACAUGCUACACUAUUCUAAUGCAAGCAGUAUAGAGAAGAAUAGGCGAUAUCUGGUGAUCAAGGGGGGGCUUGCCUGGUUGCUCUGGCAAGAAGGAGGGAUCGUCGUCGACGUAGUCGUACUCAAGGGCAUCAGCGUCGGUCUCAAGGUCUACCGGAGAAGAAGAGGGGGAAGAAACAGUAAAUACAUUGCAAACAGAUGCAUGACGAUGCAUGACAAAGCAAACAACGGUGCUAGGUGUGCCCUAACGCGGUAGGAGGUGAUACAUGCGAAGGGGAAAACAUCCGGGAAAGUAUUCCCGGUGUUUCGUGUUUUCGGACAGAUGAACCGGAGGGGGAAAGUUGCGAGUUUACUACUCUAGGAAUGUGUGGCGGACGAACGGGCUGCGUAUCCGGAUUCGUCUCGUCGUUCUGAGCAACUUUCAUGUACAAAGUAUUUUCAUCUGAGCUACGAUUUAUUUUAUAUGAUUUUCUAAAGUUUUAAAUCGUUUUUAGAAUUUAUUUAAUUUAUUUAAUUCAACAUUAUCCACAAUAGUGUUUGUUGACGUCAGGAUGACGUCAGCAGCCAACAGAGGUGUUGACGGGUCAAACUGACAUGUGGGUCCCACUUGUCAUACUUUGUUUAGGUUAAUUAGGAUUUAGCUAAUCUAAUUACUGUUUAACUAACUAACUAGUUAUUAGAUUAAUUAAUCGGGUUUAAUUAAGUUAAUUAAGUUAAUUAAUUAAUUUAACUAUUAUUUAUUUAUUUAAAGUUUUAUUAUUUAUUUUUAUUUUUUUCUUUAAAAACGUUCUAGGGAUGGCCCACCAAUCAUUGGCACAAGGGGGCGGGGCCAGCUGUCAUAGGCCCCUGUUAUCUUAGCGGGUCGGGCGGGCGUAGCGGUAGUGGGGCGGAGCCAGGCGCUGGGCGCCCGAUUGGGGGAGCCCGGGCGCAGGCCGAUGGGGCACAGCGGGGGGCGCCGGAGAGGCGCCGGCUGGGACCGGAGAGGGCGCGGCCAAGUGCUGCGCAGAGCCGUGGGGCGGCAGACGGAGGUGGUGUCGCGGCGGGAGGGGGGCGGCAGCCNNNNNNNNNNNNNNNNNNNNNNNNNNNNNNNNNNNNNNNNNNNNNNNNNNNNNNNNNNNNNNNNNNNNNNNNNNNNNNNNNNNNNNNNNNNNNNNNNNNNNNNNNNNNNNNNNNNNNNNNNNNNNNNNNNNNNNNNNNNNNNNNNNNNNNNNNNNNNNNNNNNNNNNNNNNNNNNNNNNNNNNNNNNNNNNNNNNNNNNNNNNNNNNNNNNNNNNNNNNNNNNNNNNNNNNNNNNNNNNNNNNNNNNNNNNNNNNNNNNNNNNNNNNNNNNNNNNNNNNNNNNNNNNNNNNNNNNNNNNNNNNNNNNNNNNNNNNNNNNNNNNNNNNNNNNNNNNNNNNNNNNNNNNNNNNNNNNNNNNNNNNNNNNNNNNNNNNNNNNNNNNNNNNNNNNNNNNNNNNNNNNNNNNNNNNNNNNNNNNNNNNNNNNNNNNNNNNNNNNNNNNNNNNNNNNNNNNNNNNNNNNNNNNNNNNNNNNNNNNNNNNNNNNNNNNNNNNNNNNNNNNNNNNNNNNNNNNNNNNNNNNNNNNNNNNNNNNNNNNNNNNNNNNNNNNNNNNNNNNNNNNNNNNNNNNNNNNNNNNNNNNNNNNNNNNNNNNNNNNNNNNNNNNNNNNNNNNNNNNNNNNNNNNNNNNNNNNNNNNNNNNNNNNNNNNNNNNNNNNNNNNNNNNNNNNNNNNNNNNNNNNNNNNNNNNNNNNNNNNNNNNNNNNNNNNNNNNNNNNNNNNNNNNNNNGUCAGGCAGCGUCCAGAUCGAGCGGGGGCGCAUGAGCCCCGAUCCGAUCUGGAUCGGGGGGAAAAGGGAGAGAGCGCGUGGGGGGGAGUGGUGGCGGCUAGGGUUGGACCAGGGGGUCGGGGUGACCUAGUAGAACGCCGGGGUGGGCCGGCCUAGUCGGCCUGAUUGGCCCAGAGGCCAGCUGGGCCGUGGCCCAGAGGGGGGUUCUCCUCUUAUUUUAUUUUUUGUUUCUGUUUUGUAUUUUCUUUUAUUUAUUUUUCUUUUUCUGUUUUAUUUUACUUUUAAUUUCUUUAGUUUUGUAAAAUAUGACAAUAGCUCCUAAAUUAAUGUCUCUGAAUAACCCACGGCCUUAAAAAGUUUGGUGACUACAUAAACUAGUUUAACAUUUGUUUAUUAAUUUAAAAGCAUUCAAAUAAUUGUUUUGCUACUGUUUUAUUUAGUUAAGUGCAUUUAAACUUUUUGUAAAGACUUGGUUUAUCCACAAAUAUUACUUAUGAAUUAUUUGGCAGAAACCGAACAUUUUUGUUUUAAUGUUUGAAAAUUUUUGUUGUAUGCCAUAUUUGGAAUUUGAAUUUUGAAUCGGUUUUUGAACUAACAAGGGAUUAGCAACAGUAACGGAGGUGACGUGGCAUCAUUAGCAGAGUUUUUCUGUAGCCUAAUUAUCUGGGCUUCACAAAAACGGCCUCCUUCUCCCUCGUGAAAUACCUGGCAUCGUCAGAAGUUGAUGGUCCCUAAGGAUUAACUGCAUGCAUAUGCUGAUGUCAUCCCACUUUAUUUCGUCUCAUUUUUUCAAAAAGCUAUAACUUUUGAACCGAGCAUCAGAACGAAGAUCCUUUUUCACCAUUAGGUUUAUCGCGACGAGAUCUUCAAAACUAGAUCUCAUAUGAAUACGUUUCGAUGAAGUUUUUUUAAAGAAACUUUGGUUCUAGUUGAGGCAACUUUAUUUCUAAACAGAGGCAACUUUGUUGCACCAUGUGUAGUAGUCAAUUUUACCUAGCAAGUUAUCGUAGAAAACAUAGAAACCAUGCCGGACAAAUUUUCAUCAUAUGUAGGCAACUGAACAUCAUGCGUAAGCAACUUUGGUAUCACAUGGAGGCAACUUUUGUCAUGAAGGUGCAUUCAACAUAUAUUAUGCAUACACUGUCCUAUUAUCGCCUAUUCAUAUUUUGUAAAAGGAAAUCAAACAUUUCUCCCAGUUUUCUAUCAUUGUUAUGAAGUUGCCUAUUACCAAAAACCCAGGGGGUCUAGUCCAGGUGCAUGGCAUUUUUGUUUGAAUCAAUGCGAUAAUUUUUGCAGUUAAUAGAUUGGCAAUUAUGUGAAUUAUGGGGGACAAAGCAAUCACUUGGAUUUGGUAGAAGAGUUUCAUCGAGUAGUAAUGAGGUUGCUUGGUUUGGUAUGGGGACAAAGCAAUCGCUUGGAUUUGCUAGAAGAGUUGCAUUGUGUCAUAAUGCAGUUGCUUGGUUUGGUUAGGAUAGUUGCUUGGUUUUUACUUGGAAAGUUUUGCACGAUGUUUUUAGUAAUGUAGUUGCUUGGAUUUGCUAGGACAGUUGCUUGGUUUUGUAUGGACAAUUGCUUGGUUUUGUUAGGCUUUUGUUAGAAUAGGCAACUAAUUUGCAAAGUUAGGCAAUUGAGUAGAAAUGGUAGGCAACUAUUUACCAAUAGCAAGCAACUGGGCGUCAAUGGUAGACAAUUUCAUAGUACUUGUAGGCAACUUAGCAUCAACCAUAGGAAACUGACAUUCAACGAUAGGAAAGCAAGCGACCAUGAAUAGGCAAGUUGGGAUAAUGUUUUUUCUUAGCAAAUUCAUAGUACUAAAGGUGCCUCAUGUUUCAUCGGAUUUUCUCAUUUUUACACAAAACAACAUCAUAGAAGUCCUACUAAGCCAAAGAAGAAGUUGUUUCCUAUAGAACUAAAGUUGCCUCCAUUACACCCAAAGUUGCCCACCCAAAAAAGAUCAACAUAACCUAUCCAUAUGGGAUCUAAAUUUGAAGAACUCGUCGUGAGAAACCCAACGGUGAAAACGGUUUUGAAGUUUGACGUCCGAAUCAGAAGUUAAGGCUUUUCAAAAAAUUUGAAACCCCAAAUUGAUGCACAUGUGACAAGGUCUUGGCUGAUUUAUUUACUAACAUCCUAAAAUCACGUGGGCUCAAGGAAGGUGGUGUGGGGGGGGGGGGCAGGGUCUUUUCUUCUUUUGGAAGGCACAUGGGGGACCAACUGCACUUUUUAUGAUGACCUUCCGUUUGUGGUGUAGGUCUCAAUCACACCAACGGGCGCCCAGGCUAUAAAAAACAUAUAAUUUGAAAGAACAAGCAUUUGGAAAAAGUACACAAAUUUGAAAAGUUUCAUUGAGUUUUUUUUAAGUUCACAUGUUUGAGAAAAGUUCAUUAAUUUUGAGAAAAAAAGGUUCAUCGAUUUUGCAAAAGGUCAAUUUUGAAAUAAAAAACUUCACAAAUUCAAAAAAUCUCAUAAGUUUGAAAAAAAGUUCAUCAAGUUUGUAAAAAAGACCACAAAUUUUGAAAAUUUUCUUUGAUGUUGAAAAAAAGUACAAUGAUAUUGAAAAAAAGUUCAUGAAAUUAGAAAAUUCAAGAAUUUGAACAAGAGAUCACAAUUUUGAAAAAAUGGUUGCGAAAUUGAAAAAAGGUGACACAUUUCGUAAAAGAGAAAGGAAAAGAAAAAUUAAAAGGAAAAAACGAGCAAGACCGUUCUGAAAAAUGAGAAAAAUGGCACGAAAGAAAAAGAAUAAGGAAGAAAUGAGUUAAAAAUAUGUAACUAAUCAUGUAAAAUGAGGGUGGUUGGUUGAUUACUGCAACAUACUUUGAACCUUGAAGUCGCCGGUUUGAAUCCCAAAUACCAUACGUGCAUAAUUUUUCGCGGGUUAAAAUCAGAAGGAAAAGAGAUAGAUGACUUGCAAGAGGGGUUGUGCACCCGUUUGCUAAAUGUACUACAAUUGGCGCCUGAAGCACCAAAUAGGAAAUGUCGGCACCUUCAGCACCACGUUGCGAACCUAGCACCCACAACGUCGCUUGCAUGGGCCUGGCCCAGUAUCGCUCGCUAGCUCCCGCCCUCUUGCUCGCUAGCCACCUACUCGAUCAUUGACUCCCGCUCGAUCACUUGUUUUUUCUCUGCUAAAAAAUUACAACAAUUUUUAUUGAUUUUCUUAGAAAAAAGAAACCUACCGGUUUGCUACAAUUUGUACUGUUGUACUUAGAAAAAAAGGCUGGGUUUUGAGUUCAAGAUUUGAAAAUAAAAUCAUGAACUUACAAAAUAUUCGUCAACGUUUGAAAUGAAAUUUCAAUGAUUUUGAUGAAAAGUUCAACCAUUUUGAAAAAAGUUCAUAGAUUUUGAAGAAAAGUUCACAAAUUUGAAGAAUGUUCAUUGAUUUUCAAGAGAAGUUCAUAAAUUUGGAAAAAGUACAUCGAUUUUACAAAAAGUUUACAAUUUUGACAAAACUUCAUCUAUUUAAGAAAAACAUGAAUUAGAAAAAAUGUUCACAGAUUUUUGAAAAAAAUCACCAAUUUUGAAGAAAAAGUUCACGAGUUUGAAAGUUCGUAAUUUUAAAAAAAAACAUGAAUUCAGAACAACUUCACGCAUAUAUAAUAAUAAUAGAGAAAAUAAAAAGGGAAAAGAAGAAAAGUGAAGAAACCCGUUCCAAAAAAGAGAAAAAAUGGAACCGGAAAGAAAUAAGAUAAGAAGAAGGAAGAAAGAAGAAAAAACAGAAAAAGAUGAAAGAAAUAAGAUGAGGUGAGUGUUGGAAAUAUGCCCUAGAGGCAAUAAUAAAUUGGUUAUUAUCAUAUUUCCUUGUUCAUGAUAAAGUUUUAUUAUUCAUGCUAGAAUUGUAUUGACCGAAAACGUAAAUACAUGUGUGAAUACAUAAACAAAUACUAUGUCCCUAGUGAGUCUCUACUAGACUAGCUCGUUGAUCAAAGAUAGUUAAGGUUUCCUAACUAUAGACAUGAGUUAUAAUUUGAUAACAGGAUCACAUCAUUAGAAGAAUGAUGUGAUGGACAAUACCCAACCGUAAGCUUAGUAGUUGAUCGUAUCCUUUUUUGUUAAGGUUUCUUCAUGUCAAGUAUCUAUUUCUAAGACCAUGAGAUCGUGCAACUCCAUCACACCGGAGGAAUACUUAGUGUAUAUCCAACCAUCACUUCGUAACUGGGUGAUCAUAAAGGUGUUCUACAGGUAUCACCAAAGGUGUUUGUUGGGUUGGCACGGAUCGAGACUGGAAUUUGUCACUCCGUAUGAAGGAGAGAUAUCUCUGGGCCCUAUGAUAUGUCUCAACGUAUCUAUAAUUUUUAUUGUUCCAUGCUAUUAUAUUAUCUGUUUUGGAUGUUUUAUAUGCAUUAAUAUGCUAUUUUAUAUUAUUUUUGGGACUAACCUAUUAACCUAGAGCCUAGUGCCAGUUCCUGUUUUUUUUCCUGUUUUAGAGUUUCGUAGAAAAGGAAUACCAAACGGAGUCCGAAUGAAAUAAAACCUUCGCGAUGAUUUUUCUUGGACCAGAAGACACCCAGGAGACUUGGAGAUGAAGUUGGAGGAGACACAGGGCGGCCACAAGGGUGGAGAGCGUACCCAGGGGGUAGGGCACGCCCCCUGUCUUGUGGGCCCCUCGUGCACCUCCUUACCAAAUUCUUUCGCAUAUAUAUUCCCAAACCACGAGAGGCAUGCACGAAAACACUUUUCCACCGCCACAACCUUCUUUACCCGUGAGAUCCCAUCUAGGGACCUUUUCCGGCACCCUGCCGGAGGGGGGUACGAUAACGGAGGGCUUCUACAUCAACUCUAUUGCCCUUUCGAUAAAGCGUGAGUAGUUUACCACACACCUACGGGUCCAUAGAUAGUAACUAGGGGCUUCUUCUCUCUCUUUGAUUCUCAACUAGAUGACCCGUUGCGCCCAUGGCGCAAAGGUCGAGAUCAAGCUAAUUAUUGAAAGAGUAUGCACCAAAAUAUGUAGACACGGAAGGAAACAUAUGAAAAUAAAGUACGGAUUGAUGAUAGUCAUACAGACAUGAUUGUCAUUUUUUUUACAUAAAAUCCAAAAUGAUGUCAAAUGUAAAAGUCUCGAUAGGUACUUGUAGUAAUACCAAGUUACGUAGCAAAGAACUAUUGUGAUAUGCUUAGAUUGAAUAGACGAUCAUGCAGAGGCCCUUAGACAUGCACUUGAAGACGAAAGCAUAUGCACACCCUUUCUUCAUGUUUGCCUUAUGGAAGAAGUUGCUCCAGUUCUUUGUGAGUGUAGCCCUGUUGUCAACGCCCUUGAUAAAGCGGGCCAUGACUGGUGGUCAUGUCUCCUGUACUGAUUGGUAGCUCAUCAUGAUCGGCAUCCAUGUGUGGGAAGAGGCUUCUCUUAGAAAAGUGUGUGCUAAAGUACUGCAAAUGAGGAUAAAGGUUAUUCAGUAUAUGGUUUGUCGGCAUGUUCUUGUAGGAAACCAAGAAUGCAUUUGUUUAAGAUUACCAUUCUUUUGUCGUCAGUAGCAAAUGUUUCUGUCAUGUGGCAUACGUAGUAAUGGUAAGGUGUUUUUUUGUCUUUGUGAUAUUUCGCAGAGUGCAAACAUUUUUGCUAUACAACUUAAAUGUAUUUUCCCACACACAGUGGGCAGCAAACUCAUCUAAGUAGUGCUCAUCGGGCUUGCCUGACAAUUUACACAGAACUAUAGUAUUUAGUAUUUGUCGGAGGAGUUGCUGCAAACAGGAAAGUAAUAAGAGUUUUUACCGCGAGUAAUGUAUUUUCCAGCUUUCAAAUGGAUAUUUUCCCUUUGAACUUUGGGACUUACCCGGCCUUGCGUGGGCGAUGAAUAUAUUCUAGGGGCUGCUUGUGCUUGCGGCAGGGCGGCGGUUCUAUAAAUGACAAGUAAGAGCGGUAUUAAGCUGGGGUGGAAUGAUGUGAAUUAUCUAGAAUUGGAAUAACACAGUUACCAUAGCGAUAACUAUUGGCAUGAGCCUGAGUCAUAUGAUUGAUGCCAACAUCUUGGUACCGUCGAGUUCCUCCUGUUUGACUGGGAGCAUCCACAAACAAGCAGUAAGAUUAUGAAGUUUAUCUAAUUGUGUGUGGCUUUAUCUAGGAGUUCUGACAACGUUUGGUGGUCCUGAAAUCUCUAUGUAAUUAUGUUUGGGAUGUUGUGUACUUCUGAUGAACUUUUAUAAUAGAUCUGAUUUCUUUUGGUAAAGAAAGUUCAUAUGGGUAGGAACUCCCUCGUUCAAUUAAGCGGUACGAUUCUGACUGGAUCGCCACACUUGUUUCUGUGAAAAAAAACUCCCUGAGAAUAUAGAACCUCAAAAUGUGUUUGCUUGGUGACGCCCGCUGUUUAAGGGUGGACGCGUUGUGGGCCACAACGUUAUGCAUGUCGGGUGUGUGUGGGUUUCGCUGUGUGCAAACCUAGCCAAAUGGACCGGCCCGACCCAGCACGACCCGGCCUGGGUUAAAAGGGUCAGGCACGGCACGACCCGGUCAGGCACGCUAGUCUUGGCUUCCCUAAGAAAAAGUACUCGGGCCGUGCCCUCCCUAGCCUAGGCUCGGCUCCUCGCUAAACGGGCUGGCAUGACGGCCCGUUUGGCACGCCGACAUAAGAGCAAGUACAAUAAGGUGACAUAAGCAGACUAUAAGGACUAAAAUAUUAUAUAUUUGUUUAACUGGAGGCGAGAGAAGAGAAGCGGGUUGUUGAUUAGUAGUCAAUUGCAACACAAGACUCAAGCCACUAUGUGAGGUUGUAUGGUGUAUCAACUAUUAAUAAUGUACUCCGUCUCUUUCUAAAUGUAAGUUUUUGUAGAGAUUUCAUGAUGAAUUACAUACGGAUGUAUAUAAACAUAGUUUAGAGUGUAGAUUCACCCAUUUUGCUUCAUGGACUUGUAUUUAGAAACGAAGGGAGUAGUACACAUUUAAAAUUUAUUAUUGUACGUAUCGCCUUAUAGCCGAUUGUUGUAUUAUUAACUAUACUACCAUCCCACUAAAAAAUCACGACAACCAUGGUCUAGAAAAAGGCACGUCCGCCCGUGACCAUGCGGAGGCAGGUAGAGCUGUAGUGCGCUCGUCGCCUUGUGGCCGCAAGGACCCAGGACGCACAUUGAUGCAUGCAGCGUGUCGGGUGUGUGUGCGCGUGUCCUCUCAGCAAGCUUUAAUCUCCAGCUGGCCGCUGGUCCAAGCCACGUGUCGUGUGUGUAUGGGUUUCCCUGUGAGCGUGUGUUCUCAACGGGUUAGCGACUCGGCGCAGCUCUGAAGAGUGGAGAUUGGCGAUUUGGGGUGCUGGGUACGCCUCAGUUCCAAGCUGUGGCUGGAGGAUCCCCGCCGUCGUGUUGUUCCAGCUGUCGGUGCUACUUCCGCGGCUGCUCCUUGGGCGUUGCUUCGCCGUCCACACGAACUGCGCCGUUGCUGUUCUGGUCAGCCAUCUCGCCCUGCGUCUGCUCAGCCAGCUGCUUCGCCCUACGUGUGAUCUGGUUUGUAUUGUUUCCUCUGGUAUUAGAUUUGUUGUUUGUUGUCGUGGGCUAUGUUCGGUACGGUGUUUCUUGAGCAACGAUGUCGUUGGAUUAGGCGCUGGUUUUUUAUGGACGCCGCUUUUGUGCUACAUUUGUUGUGGGGGGCGCCAUGCACCGUGGAGGAGAAUGGCAUAUUGUUGUUGGCUGGAGCUUCCCCUCAAGUUUAACUUACUGCUUUAGUUACCGACUUUGACAGAAGUAGAUAGGGUCGAUGCACCCACCGCACAGAGCUCAAAGAAGCACGUCAAUCCAGCAAUACAUGGCAUCGGCCAGACGUCAACCAACCACGCAGCCAUCAUUGUCUUACCUGCUCUAAGCACGCACUUAACGUUGUUUCAGAUGGAAUACAUUCAACAUACAUGGUGGAAGAGAGUUGCCCCCAGGCACCCCAGUACUGAACCACGACGUCCACAAUAAUGAGAUGGAGAUCGUCGUCCCAGGGGUAAUCAAUUUAAACUUGGCUAACAUCAGUCACCUACAUUACCAUGAUCUCACCAGUUGCUAGAUCCAGUAUACUGACAGUGAUUCACGAACCAUAUAGUCAUUAAACUGCAUGCAAUUCCUGUUUUAAGAAUACUUGCCCAAAUAAUGGCUGCAUUGUCACCUCGGUCACUUUAAAAUAUGGGCUCCACAUUUCACCUUCCCCUCACACCACAUAUAUUUACACGAUGCAAUAAAAGAUUGUAUGUCAAUCUCAUGCCUUGUUUUGAAAUCGAUUAAGUAAAAAAUGGUACCCUUAUGUGUGCACUUGCCAGAGAGGUGCAUUCAAUACUUCCCUACUUGAGGGGAUCGCAUAUACUAAAUUAAAAUGCAGUGAUCACAUCACAAAUUAUAAAUUGUUUUCUUAAUUUACACACACCGUACACCUGCUUUCCCAAAUCGGCAUUACCAUAUCACCAUAUAUCCAACCUUUAGGCGCAACAGGCAACCUACAAUUGGAGUGAUGGUUUAGUAAGAAAGAACAUUUAGCACAAAGAAAGAUGAAUUUUGAAAGAAAAAAACUUAGAAAAAAUUGAUGCUCGACUCACUACUAAUACCAUCUAAUAAUAUGCAAGAUAGUAAUAAGAGGUCAAGCCAAUCAAGUGAAAGACGUUUGAACUGGAAUUAGACACAUUGUACAUCAUCAAUCAUUAGGAGCUGGACCCCAUAGAAUCUUUUCGGGUUCAGUUGUAUGAUUAGAAUUUGGCUUCAAACUAACUAAACUAAAGAGUUUUUUUUUCUUGUCCACCCUUCAGUUGCCAAAUUAUGAUUCAUAAAGUUAUAGCGCAUCUUGGAAAUGUUAUAAUAGUUUUGGUUACACGGUUCAUGAUAUACCUAUGGAUAUUAUACUGACUGAUAGUCCAUGGUUCAUUUGAGCUCACUUUGGCGCGAAUGCAGUGAUGAAGGUUCGACAUGCAGUUUCGGAUUUCCCUUCUCAUUCAGUGCAGCUUCCCUCAUGAUGUAUGCCACAUGCUAAUAUGAACUUUCUCAUUGUAUAUAAAUUUUCAUGAGAGAAAAAGAGAAAAGAUGCUCCAGUUUUCCUUGCAGCUCAAUUUUCACACCCUUCCCAGGUUAAUAUUCACUAUUUUCUUUGGACCAUCUUUAUGCUGCCUUUUCUCUGUACACACCUCAUCAAAACUGAACAAAGAGGCAUCACAUAGGUUUAGAUGGCGCGUGUGAACAUGGUUUAAGAUAUGAUGUUUCUUGGAGAGAGCAAACUUACCUUUUCCAUUUCAUGGUUUAUUAACUAAAAUAUUGAUCGACGGCACAUUCUGAUGCUUCAGCUUUGUUUUUGCCUUCUUGUCACUUAAUUAGGCACUAUAGUAAGAAAGCAUACUGAAUGAGACUCGAAGGAAUUUUGAUGUCAACUUGUAAUUAGCAAAACUUAAAAUGAUCUCUUUAAACAAGUAUCAGAUUAAAGAAACCAAUAUAGAACCAUAUUAAAUAGGGACUGAGCUUAGCUGGAAGGUGAGAAAGAAAUUACAAUUGCUAUUGGUGCAACAUUACAAAAUUUAGCUUAGCUAUCUAUCAGAUUUCUUGACUCAAAUUCCAGCUAGCAAAGAAGAAGAAUGAAUCCCCAGAAAAACCAUGCUAAACGAAAUAGAGACUCAUCGAUUGACCUCAAUCACAUUAUUUGUUAAAUAGAGACUGAGCAAAGAGGGAAGGUCAGAAAGAAAUUACAAUUGCUAUUGGUGCAACAAUACAAAUUUUAGCUUAGCUAUCUAUCAGAUUUCUUGACGCAAAUUCUAGCAAGCAAAGACGAAGAUUGAAUCCCCAAAAAUCCAUGCUAAACCAAAUAGAGACUCAUUGAUUUACCUCAAUUAAAUUGUUUAUAAAACAUUGUACAUGAACUUGUUUUAAAUACAUGACAAAAUCUAGCUGAGCUAAACCUUCCUGGAAUCUUAUGUGGAUUUUUAGAGUUUAGACCAAGGAGAAAUGGGGAAAUAAUUCAUGAUAGAGGGUAGUGCAUGCAGGAGCCUCCGAAUAGCGGGUAGCCUAGCGAGGUUUGUAGGAAAAAGGUGGCUUUUGUCUCAUCAGUGAGUUUGUUGCCCAAUGCCCGUGCUACUGAUAUAAUGUCGUUCAUGACAUACCUCGCCCAGUUCCAAUUUGGGAUGUCAUCUAAAUUUUCAAGAGCCACAAAAUAUGCUGGAAGAAUAACUACAGAUCAAAUGGACCUCAAACUUUAUCUCACCGUGAACACCACAUAAAUCACAUUCUAACAUGGAGGCCUCAGCCAUCGCCAAGGCAUCUCAUGGAACAUGGGGGAAACUCCAAAUCGAACAGAGCAACACAAAAAUAGGAAUCAGGCAUGAGGAAAGGGGAAUAAGCUAACCUGGGUAAUGGGAUCAGCAGGUCGAGGAGGGUGCCACCGUGCCAGCGGCCUCCACAAGGAUAAUCUUGCACACGAUGUCGCCUCAAGCAAUGGAUCGCAACCACCAGAACCGAAGCACUUGUUGUUCAUGGUUUCAGUUAUGAGAUAUCCCGUCAACUGAGGUACAAAUCACAAAUAGGUCAGCUCACGAGCUAAAGAAUAUAAUCUUAUCCAAGAAAAGACAAAAUAGUCCAGAGCAGCAAAGCUUUAUUAAGUUCUUUACUAAGAAAGCGAACUUAGUAAUUACAGCCCAAACAGAGAAUAAAUGGUUUAGAACAGGCAUAAAUCUGAUCCAUCUUCCAUCAUCAAUAAUAAAGAUAGGAAAUCUUGAAAUCCUUGAUCCAAACAUCAGAAGUCACAAAAGUCGAAGCAAACAGUGAACUGAAAAUUACUCCGAAAAAAACUUUUAUUUUGUUGACUCUAGACGAAGCCCAUGCUUUGUUGUCCUGGCAAUACAACAAAUUACUGGCCCAAGCUUGAAGUACUAACAAGAACGAAUCCCUUUCGUUAUUAAUUCAUUCAAUGAACAGCAGAGAAAAUGGAUGCUUGUGCAGGCAUCGUAAUGAAUGGUACUUGAUUUAGAGAAAUAACUAUGCUAAUAUAUGACUUCGCUAACUAAUCAAUCUGCUGCAAUCACAGUUGGUGCAUAACACUAAACGAGCACUUGUGAUCAGGGCAACGGUUAUAGAUAAGUAAAGAGAAAUUACAAAACAAGGUAUGACGAGACUACCAAAUCAGCCUGAGAAAGUAGAAAGUAGGAUCAACGGAAACAUAACAAAGGAAACAGAAUAAUGAAUAUUUAGUGGAGAUGAGCUAGUUGAACCUACAGGCCAGAGGAAGAGCUCACCGGAAGGUUAGGCCAGCGAAUUUGGGACCGAUCCCUAGAAGGAAGAAGCGAAGAACUAAAGAACACAUCUUGUUCACGCCUAACUAUGUUGUGCAAUUGUGCCGAUGGCCUCGUCGUCUAAGGCAAAUACAUGUCUCCAUCAUAAAUCAAAAGCGUGAACUGGGAGGACUUCUGCAAUUGCUAAGCGAAUCAUGCAUACAACCAUGACAGUGGCUACAAAUUUGAGUUUCUUCACCUCCCGAUGCAAUUACAACAUAUGAUUAUGCACAUAUAUAAUAGUAGUAUGAUGGAUUAACUACCAUCAAGAAGAGAACAUAAACUGACAGAUUUUCCGGUAAAAAAAACUGGCUGCAUUAAUGUUUACCUUUCCCACUGCAUAACCAAAUGUCAUUAACUAUCAAAUUAGUCGCAAAUAAGCCAAAUAUCACCAACGGGUUGCUACCUUGAUGCUUUAUAUUUCUUCUAUGUGUCUUGCUGUCCCCUUCAAGUAACUGACGCGCCCGGUCGAUCCCAAAGGUUGCUAUUUCCUUGUGGAGUUUCUUAUUGACAUAGAUCUGAACAAAAAUGGAGGGACCAAAUAAAUUUCAGAUUUAGGAGUCAGGAACUAACAGUUGUAAAUCCACACCAAUGAACACAAAUACAACCUGAUUAUGUGGCAGACCUUUAACAGGAAAGGUAAAAUCUGUAGCAUAGUUUGCAACUUAAAAUUAUAGGUCACUAAAGUGCAUGCCACAACAUAAGCAAAAUUCAUCUAACAAACCUCGAGCUUGUGUACGACUGUCUUAUUAAGCACAUCAUGCUGACAUGCAAACUCGUGAUUGGAAAAAAGAAGUUACUCUAGCGAAAACUGGUGCUAAGCAGUAAUGGGAGCUAGAGGGAGCACCGCUUCUGAACAUUCUAAAACAAUGAAAAGGCGUGCUUACAUCUAUGAAGCUAAAAAUAGUACACCGAACCAUAUUGAUUGAAUACGGGUAACAACGGAAAAACAAUUAAUUGGAGUGCAGAAUCUGCAUAGAAUAGAACCGGAACACAUCAAUCUAGGCAUCUAACUAGCUUCUGCCAUCAGGGUUGCUUGCUAAUUGCAACAAUAUUCAUAACUGAAGAUUCAAUGAGAACUACCAAGGGAUAAAAAAAGGGAACUGAAUCUGUUCACUCAAUGUGUGCAUGACCUGCAAUGUCCUCACAUAUGAGUAAUUCAUCAAAGAAACCAUAAAAAAUUCAUCAAACAAAAAACACAAAUGGAAGGCAAGCUUACCUGAAUGGGGAUUGCCCGUGACCUGGAUCUCGUCGUUCGCGUGCUGGUGAUCUGCUACUAUUUGAACAACAACUCUGCCCGCUGAUGCUGUCCAAACUGUGCAAAUUUAUCCAUACUAUCCCUGCAAUUGUUAAGAUCAAAAUCAGCAUCUUUUACAACUAAUGCAGAGUAUGAAUUUCUCGGCAGACAAAAAAGGCUUUGUAGAUUCAGUAUAGUUGACACAAACAAAAUGCAGUACCUGCUUUCCUCAAGAACCCGUGUCUGAAAGAUGUGGAGAGAAAAUUGCAAAAUAUGAGCAUUAGUACUUCUUAGGUAUCACAGAAAUUCAAUGCAACUUCAACAAGACCAGCGCUUGCUUUUCACACUAUUGAAAAUUCACGUCUUCCAUAUUUGAUCCACCUUUCCGCUGGGCAAAACAACAAAUAUGUGGGGGCAAAAUAUCUAUUUAUGCUCAGAAAAGAAAUUACCAAAUAUCCGGCCACGAGCGCGUGUGUGAGAGGACCGAGGAGAGAGUGUGCGUGACAGCGAGAGAGGAUGAAGGCAAGGACGUGGGGGCUGAUCUCUCGGGUGGAUGGACGGCAGCGCGAAAGCCGGACGGAGCUGGCCGUCUCUGCAGCCCACGCUCCUCUUGCCGACGAUGGCGCCGUGGACCACCGCUGCGACUCAAGCUCCUCCCGGGGUCGCUGCUGCACGCGUGGAGAUGGAGGCGGGGUGCAGCCUUCCGUGCAUCGCGCACGAGCCCCAGCCUCCUCGCAGCUCCCGAUCCAGGAACGGGUCGAGCCGCCGCCAACCGUCAGAUCGAGCCCGACCUCGCCGGCGCAGGCCGACGCCGGCCGGUGACCCUCUCCCGUCAGCCGCCACACCUCACUCUCCUCUUCCCUCUCUCUUUCUCCCUCCUCUCCUUCCUUCUCUCUCUCUCAUCUUCUCUCUCUGCCGGGGUUCGUGCGGGAGGAGGGGAUUGGGAAGGCGGCGCAAAGGAGAGGGAGGAAGGAGAGGAGGCAGUGCGGAUAUUUUCUAGGGCUCGGCUCACUCCACCCAGAACGAGGUACACCUUAGUCAUGAUAAAAAGCAACUGAUUACUGGGCCCAUGGCUCAAGAGGCCCAAUUCGACAGCCACUUCCAAACAAAACAUGUAUGUACAAAAGAACGAACGGUUGACCUCAUGCCAGCGGCCAAAACAGAGCUACAGAAAAAGAAUCGAAGGGCCCAACGAGCGUGGCGCGCGCGGAUGAUGCCUCAGAAUGGCGGGUUGUCUACCAAGAUUUAUAUGUUCAAUACCAUGUUCUCCUCGAUGUUCAUGGAGAUCUAUUCGAUGUAAUACUUUUUUGCGGUGUAUUUGCCGAGAUCCGAUGAAUUGUGGAUUUGUGAUUAGUUUAUCUAUGAAUAUUAUUUGAAUCUUCUCUGUUUUUUAUGCAUGAUUUGAUAUCUUUGUAAUUCUCUUCGAACUAUCGGUUUGGUUUGGCCAACUAGAUUGGUUUUUCUUGCAAUGGGGGAAGUGCUUAGCUUUUGGUUCAAUCUUGCGGUGUCCUUUCCCAAUGACAGCAAGGGCAGCAAGGCACGUAUUGUAUUGUUGCCAUCGAGCAUAAAAAGAUGGUCAAUGAAUAUUAUUUGAAUCUUCUCUGAUUUUUUAUGCAUGAUUUGAUAUCUUUGUAAUUCUCUUCGAACUAUCGGUUUGGUUUGGCCAACUAGAUUGGUUUUUCUUGCAAUGGGGGAAGUGCUUAGCUUUUGGUUCAAUCUUGCGGUGUCCUUUCCCAAUAACAGCAAGGGCAGCAAGGCACGUAUUGUAUUGUUGCCAUCGAGCAUAAAAAGAUGGGGUUUUCAUCAUAUAGCUUGAGUUAAUUCCUCUAUAUCAUGCCAUCUUACUUAAUGUGUUACUUCGUUCUUUAUGAACUUAAUACUCUAUAUGCAUGUUGGAUAGCGGUCGAUGUGUGGACUAAUAGUAAUAGAUGCAGAAUUGUUUCGAUCUACUUGACACGGACGUGAUGCCUAUAUUCAUGACCAUUGCCUUAGAUAUCAUUAUAACUUUGCGCUUUUCUAUCAAUUGUUCGGCAGUAAUUUGUUCACCCACCGUAUUAUUUUCUAUCUUGAGAGAAGCCUCUAGUGAAACCUAUGGCCCCCGGAUCUAUUUUCCAUCAUAUAAGUUUCCGAUCUACUAUUUUGCAAUCUUUUACUUUCCGAUCUAUAAACCAAAAAAUACCAAAACUAUUUACUUUAUCGUUUAUCUAUCUCUAUCAGAUCUCACUUUUGCAAGUAACCGUGAAGGGAUUGACAACCCCUUUAUCGCGUUGGGUGCAAGUUGUUUGAUUGUUUGUGCAGGUAUUCGGUGAUUUGUUCGUUGUCUACUACUGGAUUGAUACCUUGGUUCUCAAACUGAGGGAAAUACUUAUCUCUACUAUGCUGCAUCACUCUUUCCUCUUCAGGGAACAAACAACGCAAGCUCAAGAAGUAGCACCCCUCUUAGUAAUACAACAUCGUAAAGAGCUUGCAAGCAAUGUGGCUAAUGAGUUAGUCACGAUAUCUUGUAUUACGGAACGAGUUAAGAGACUUGCCGGUAACGAGAUUGUACUAGGUAUGGAGAUACCGACGAUCGAAUCUCGGGCAAGUAACAUAUCGCCGAACAAAGGGAAUUGCAUACAACAUUAACCGAAUCCUUGACAUCGUGGUUCAACCGAUAAAAGAUCUUCGUGGAAUAUGUAUGAAUCGAUAUGUGCAUCCAGGUCCUGCUAUUGGUUAUUGACCGGAGAGAGGUCUCGGUCAUAACUACACAAUUCCCGAACCCGCAGGGUCGCACGCUUAACGUUCGUUGAUGCUAGAGUAGUAUUGGGAUAUUUGAUGAUUGGUAACCGACUGUUGUUUGGAGUCCCGGAUGAGAUCCGGGGCGUCAUGAGGAGUCUCGGAAUGGUCGAGAGGUAAAGAUUUAUAUAUGGAAAGUCAUAUUUUGUUUUCCGGAAUUAGGUGCAGUUUUGUCGGCAUUGUAACGGGAAGCUUCCAGAAGGUUCCGUAGGAUUCCGGAGGGGUCCGGAAGUCCACAAAUGGGUCCACCAUGUUCCAAGGGCUGGCAUGGGCUGAGGGGAGGUGCCCUGGCCUUAUUGGGCUAGGCGCACCAAGUCCUCGAAAGCCCGUGUGGCUAGAAAAGGGAAAAAAGGGGAGUCCUAGUAGGAAUCGGACCGGACUUGGAGUCCAAGUCCUCUCCCCCUUGGCGCCAACUCCUAUAAGGAGUAGGGCUGGAAACGCAGCCCUCCCACGCAUAUAAGUAUAGGGGAGGGGCACAGCAAGGCACCCCAACACAUUGGUCUUGGCUGCUGCCCCGUCUCUCCCUCUCGGCAUAGUUCUCGUCCAUGGUUUUUCACUUAGCGAAGCGCUGCCAUUGCUCCACCACCACGCCGUUGUGCUGGUUGUGAUCCCAUCUACUUCUCCGCCUUCUCUUGCUGGAUCAAGGAGGAGUAGACGUCAUGGAGCCGCACGUGUGGUAAACUUGGCACUAGAUCGGUUGGAUUGUGAUCGGAUUGCGAAGAGUCUGACUACAUCAACCGCGUUAUACACACUUCCGCUUUCGGUCUACGAGGGUACGUAGACACACUCUCCCCUCUCGUUGUUAUGCUUCUCCUAGAUAGAUCUUGGGUGUUCGUAGGAUUUUUUUUUCAUACUUCAUUCCCCAUCAGUGAGGUGGGUGUGUGUGGUUACAAGAGCGUACAAGACAAUUUUAUCAUUAAUUAGACCAUGGUAGUUUUAUUCUAUAUAGCAUGGCAUUUUUAUUAUUUAGAACAAGACAAUUUUAAUAAUUAGAACAUGAUAGUUUUAUUGUAGGUAGUAUGUCACUUUUUAUUAGAUCAUGUCAAUUUUACUACUCCCUCUAUUUCCUUAUACAAGGUCACUAUGAAAAAUAUAUUUUGCAUCUAUACAAGGCCAUUAACAGUAAUCGAGACAAAAAUUAAUGAUGUUUCCUCGUACUAGCAACUUGUUUAAUACUUGUAUGCAUGUAGUCAUAAUGACACUGUAGUACUUUCUUCUUAUUCAUUCCUUGCAUGCAUGCGGGUGUAUUAAUAAUUUUGGUUAACGACAAGAAAAAUUGGCUUACAAAACAAUCAUUAAAUUUUACCUUGAUACCUGUAAUCUGAAUUUGUGGCCUUGUAUAAGGGAAUGGAGGGAGUAGUUAAACAUGGCAGUUUUAUUUGUCAUGGCAACUUGUUUUGAAUAAUAGUCAUCGUACAACAUGCAAUUUGAACACAUUUUUGCCAUGGAAACUAAAUAUUUUGUUGACACGGUCAUUUCAAACUAUUUUCGUGAUGUAAACUUAAGAUGUGUUCCACUGACAUCUAAAGUUAACUUGUGUUGCCACUUUUUGUUACAAGCAUCUGGUUCGUGGCGACUUUUUUGUAUGUUUUUUUAGCUAUUUUCAUUUCAGUUGUAAAUCCUAGCUUGAAGGGCUGAUACUGCUUAAGUUGAGCCUGUUUGUGGCCCAUUUUAGAUCCUUAACUUUGGUGGUUCAUCGAGAAGUACGCUUGGGGCACCAGCGUGCCCUACUCCGGGUUCUAUGGGACGUUCGUCAGGUCGUGCCCUACUCAAAGGACCAAUGUAAAAAAAACUAAGUAUUUCAAUCCUCAAAAAUCCUACAGUGCUCGUUUGAUUCAAAGUAGCCCUUGUCGUGACGAAUCUCUCGGAUACAGGAGGCAGAGGACAAUCCAACCCCUAGUUGCUAGUAGUAACAGUAGGAGCGGGACACACUGUGCUCUGCAUGAAUUGAACGGGCGAAUAAAGCUAGCGCAAAACACCAAACAUCUCCGGGUUGUCACCGUGCUGUCCGUGAUCGUCCAAGCACCAGCUACACAGGCCUCGAAAUCCCGUGAUUAAUAUUACUCGACAUGCUUUGAAAUGUCGGGUACCUUCCAUAGGUUUAGGGGGCGAGAUGAUUUGAUUAAGCUGUAUAAUAGGCUAUAGGGUAUUGUGAAGUUGUUAUUUUGUCGAGCACUGGAACAAAAUCUUGCUGAAAAUGGUGCUUUUGAAGAAAAAAAACCGAAAGUAGCCAUAGUAAUAAUCUGAUCAUAUUAUUAGCUGCCAUCCAACGAAUCAAAGAAUAGUAAUACUCCUAGCAGUAAAAAACAAUGAGCUACUAAUCCCUACGACCAACCUAUACAGAGACACCGAAAUCAUAUAACGCCGCCCAAAAAUCAAUCAAAUCCAUAGCCAUUAGUGUCCUGUCAAGUAAGAGCUCAG
rnacentral:lncRNA from 1 species